CCUACGGGAGGCAACAGUGAGGAAUAUUGGUCAAUGGACGAGAGUCUGAACCAGCCAAGUAGCGUGAAGGAUGACUGCCCUAUGGGUUGUAAACUUCUUUUAUAUGGGAAUAAAACAGGGUAUGCAUACCCUCUUGUAUGUACCAUAUGAAUAAGGAUCGGCUAACUCCGUGCCAGCAGCCGCGGUAAUACGGAGGAUCCGAGCGUUAUCCGGAUUUGUUGGGUUUAAAGGGAGCGUAGGUUGAUUGUUAAGUCAGUUGUGAAAGUUUGCGGCUCAACCUUAAAAUUGCAGUUGAAACUGGCAGGCUUGAGUACAGUAGAGGUGGGCGGAAUUCGUGGUGUAGCGGUGAAAUGCUUAGAUAUCACGAAGAAUUCCGAUUGCGAAGGCAGCUCACUGGACUGCAACUGACACUGAUGCUCGAAAGUGUGGGUAUCAAACAGGAUUAGAUACCCCAGUAGUC
rnacentral:rRNA from 1 species